UCUGAUAAAACAAACUUUACACCAACAAAGAUCAAAAGAGACAAGGCCAUUACAUAAUGGUAAAAGGAUCAAUUCAAUAAGAAGAGCUAACUAUCCUAAAUAUAUAUGCACCCAAUACAGGAGCGCCCAGAUUCAUAAUUCCUAAACAGUAUAAUUGUGAAUUAGCGAUGAACAUAUUUUUGAAAAUUCUUUAAGAGAUUCAAGCAAGCACCCAAGUUUGAGAGCCAUUGACACAAGGCAAUCCUGUCACUCACAGAUGAAGCUGUUAAGACAUCCAGAUCAGUCGGAGCUGAUAGUCACUGCACACUGGCGGAUAUGCCAUGGGCACUGCUGGUUGUUACGACCACCAUCUUUUCUCAUUGGUCAAUGGCCAUCCUGUGUCCAUAAUGAUGGACCCACCUGAGAAGAGGCCAUGGCUUUGAAGCACCUGGUAGUGUGUCCACAGUGAAGACCAGAGUUUUGUUGUCCUCAAGACUGACCUGGGGAGACGUGGCUGCGGGCCAGUGAGGAAGAUGGCACCAAAGGUGAAGGAGGAAGCUCCUGCCCCUCCUAAAGCCAAAGCCGAAGCAAAGGCUUUAAAGGCCAAGAAGGCAGUGUUGAAAUGUGUCCACAGCCCCCCAAAAAAAGAAGAUCUGCACCUCACUCACCUUCCAGCGUCCCAAGACACUGCGACUGCAGCCCAGAUAUCCUGGGACGAGCACCCCCCGGAGAAACAAGCUUGACCACCACGCUAUCAUCAAGUUUCCACUGACCACUGAGUCAGCCGUGAAGAAGAUAGAAGACAACAGCACGCUUGUGUUCACUGUUGAUGUUAAAGCCAACAAGCACCAGAUCAAACAGAAUGUGAAGAAGCUCUGGGACGUGGAUGUGGCCACGGUCAACAUCCUGAUUCAGCCUGAUGGAGAGAAGAAGGCAUAUGUUCGACUGGCUCCUGAUUACGAUGCUUUGGAUGUUGCCAACAAACUUGGGAUCAUCUAAACUGAGUACAGCUGGCUGAUUCUAAAUAUAUGUAUAUCUUUUCACCAUUAAAAAAAAGGAAAUAAUGUUUUUCAUAAGCAUGAUGACUUAAAAUCUUAAAGCUUAUAGAUUUGAUUGUAAUUAUCUAGUAAGUAUAAUAUUAGCUUCUUGUAAGCACUCAAGCAGAAUAAAAACUUGUUUGUUGCCCAGGCACGGUGGCUCACACCUGUAAUCCCAGCACUUUGGGAGGCCGAGGUGGGCGGAUCAUGAGG